rnacentral:rRNA from 1 species
CCGCAUGGGGAUAUUUGCUAAAGAUUCAUCGCUGAUAGAUAGGCAUGCGUUCCAUUAGGCAGUUGGCGGGGUAACGGCCCACCAAACCGACGAUGGAUAGGGGUUCUGAGAGGAAGGUCCCCCACAUUGGUACUGAGACACGGACCAAACUCCUACGGGAGGCAGCAGUGAGGAAUAUUGGUCAAUGGGCGUAAGCCUGAACCAGCCAAGUCGCGUGAGGGAUGAAGGUUCUAUGGAUCGUAAACCUCUUUUAUAAGGGAAUAAAGUGUGGGACGUGUCCUGUUUUGUAUGUACCUUAUGAAUAAGGAUCGGCUAACUCCGUGCCAGCAGCCGCGGUAAUACGGAGGAUCCGAGCGUUAUCCGGAUUUAUUGGGUUUAAAGGGUGCGUAGGCGGCCUUUUAAGUCAGCGGUGAAAGUCUGUGGCUCAACCAUAGAAUUGCCGUUGAAACUGGGAGGCUUGAGUAUGUUUGAGGCAGGCGGAAUGCGUGGUGUAGCGGUGAAAUGCUUAGAUAUCACGCAGAACCCCGAUUGCGAAGGCAGCCUGCCAAGCCAUGACUGACGCUGAUGCACGAAAGCGUGGGGAUCAAACAGGAUUAGAUACCCUGGUAGUCCACGCAGUAAACGAUGAUCACUAGCUGUUUGCGAUACAGUGUAAGCGGCACAG